rnacentral:tRNA from 1 species
CGCCUGUGCGGCUGGCGGGAACACACCCGCCUGCUGCGGACGGGCGAGGCCGACGCCGCCCUCAUGUUCGAGCCCUACGACCCGGGCGGC